AUUGAACGCUGGCGGCAGGCCUAACACAUGCAAGUCGAACGAGUGGCGGACGGGUGAGUAAUGUCUGGGAAACUGCCUGAUGGAGGGGGAUAACUACUGGAAACGGUAGCUAAUAACGCCUACCAUCAGAUGAGCCCAUAUGGGAUUAGCUAGUUGGUGGGGUAACGGCUCACAAGGGCGACGAUCCCUAGCUGGUCUGAGAGGAUGACCAGCCACACUGGAACGAGGACACGGUCCAGACUCCUACGGGAGGCAGCAGUGGGUAAGAUUGCACAAUGGGCGCAAGCCUGAGGCAGCCAUGCCGGUUGUAUGAAGAAGGCCUUCGGGUUGAAAAGUACUUUCAGCGGGGAGGCGUUACCCGCAGAAGAAGCACCGGCUAACUCCGUGCCAGCCGCCGCGGUAAUUC
rnacentral:rRNA from 1 species